UUUGUAUAUAUUUUAGCUCUUUAAUUCUCACAGCAAAUCAAAGUAACUUGUUCACGGUCCCACAGUUAGCAAGUGUCUGAGCUAGUAUUUGAACUCAAAUAUGUCUGGCUUGAGUCCAUACUUUUGAUGGCUUCUCUGACAAUAAUUGAAUAAUAUAGUGUAUAAUAGAAUACCUACCAUUUAUUGAGGAUUUACCCUGUGCCAGAUACUAUAGUGACUGCUUUACACCAGCAUCUAAUUUAGUCAAACUCAUUCAGUCCUGUAACCUGUAAAGUAAAUGCCU
rnacentral:lncRNA from 1 species